rnacentral:lncRNA from 1 species
CAGCUGGGCCCCCUUCUCUCCCAUCCUGGCCUACGUGCCAGUGGCCUUGCAUGGGGUGUUUUUUGAGUCUGUCAGUGACUUCCUGUUGCCUGAUCUGUCUAGUCUCAGUGAGCUAUUUAGAAAAAUGGCCAAUUCUGUGGGCUCCGGGUUAUAACCCCCAAGAGCAAGGCAGAGACACAUCCUCUGGUCCUUCUCCCAGUCCUCCCACUGCAUACCUACAAGCACGCAGAGCCACCCCUUACCCAAGGACGGCAGGAGCGGGACCUCAGCUGAGCUCUUCUGUUUCAGGGUGUGCCACUUCCGUUCUAUCAGCCCACUGAAGAGGAGGGAGGUGAGUUCUGGUUCAAAAUUUCUCUUGCCAACAACGGGAGUGAUGAACAGAAUCCCAGACUGUAGCUGCCCAGGCUCAGGAAGCCACAAAAGCUGUGGGAGUGGCAUCCGAGUGGUAAGGACACACCGGUCGGUGGGCACACAGGCCCUCUUCACAAGCCACUGGUGUG